GACAGAGGGUGCAAACGUUGUUCGGAAUUACUGGGCGUAAAGCGAGUGUAGGCGGUUUCCUAAGUCGGAUGUGAAAGCCCCGGGCUCAACCCGGGAAGUGCACUCGAAACUGGGAGGCUAGAGUAUCGGAGAGGUUGGUGGAAUUCUCGGUGUAGAGGUGAAAUUCGUAGAUAUCGAGAGGAACACCGGUGGCGAAGGCGGCGAUCUGGGAAGAUACUGACGCUGAGGUGCGAAAGCGUGGGGAGCAAACAGG
rnacentral:rRNA from 1 species